rnacentral:rRNA from 1 species
UACGUAGGUGGCAAGCGUUGUUCGGAAUUAUUGGGCGUAAAGGGCGCGUAGGCGGCAUGUUAAGUCGGCUGUGAAAGCCCGGGGCUCAACCCCGGAGGGUCGGCCGAUACUGGCAAGCUAGAGUACAGAAGAGGUAGCUGGAAUUCCUGGUGUAGCGGUGAAAUGCGCAGAUAUCAGGAGGAACACCGGUGGCGAAGGCGGGUCUCUGGGCCGAAAUUGACGCUGAGGAGCGAAAGCGUGGGGAGCAAACAGG